UUCCCGUCUUGUGGACGGCUCGUCAACGGCUUCGGUCUCGGCAACGAGUUUUCGUUGCAAAGGCGAUCGCGUUAACGACUCCACGGGCGUGUAGGUACCUUUUUCUCUAUUCGUCUUCAUUGCUGAAGAAGAAUCCGUUUCCACUUUCUGUUUCUCAUAUCGAAACAGAUCGAUUCGUUAAAUUGGCAAGAUGAGCCCAUUUACUACCACUCAGUCGAUUCUUUUCAUCGUGAAACGUUGGUCUACUUUGAAGAUAGAAUUGUAUGAUUGCAGUAUUGAUGAUAGUAGGAGAAGGAAACAUUUGCUUUGAAGGGAACGAGGAAUCAGAUGCAGAAAUUAGGAGACUUUAAGCUUCCUCAAUUCUUCAACUAUUUGCCCUUCUUAACGUAAAUUCCAGUUUAUGCCCGUGGAAUUCAAGACAGAUAAGUAUUUGAAAUGUUACUUAAACUGAACCAAACUGGAAAGGUUCAAUUAUAUUUAGUUUCUUGAUUGUGGGUUCAAUUUGAUUUUGAUUUGAAACAUUUUUUAUUUGGUUUU